rnacentral:ncRNA from 1 species
AUAUUCCGACAGGGGAGCGCCACAGCGCUGAGAGUGCGGGACAGACCGCAGACCCUCUGAACCUUGCCCAGGUCAUUCUGGGUAGGAAGUUCGGUCAUCACUCAAG